UGUAGAGCUGUCCUGCCCAGGUAUGGAACUAGUGUAGAGAUGUCCUGCCCAGGUAUGGAACUAGUGUAGAGCUGUCCUGCCCAGGUAUGGAACUAGUGUAGAGAUGUCCUGCCCAGGUAUGAAACUAGUGUAGAGAUGUCCUGCCCAGGUAUGGAACUAGUGUAGAGCUGUCCUGCCCAGGUAUGGAACUAGUGUAGAGCUGUCCUGCCCAGGUAUGAAACUAGUGUAGAGAUGUCCUGCCCAGGUAUGGAACUAGUGUAGAGAUGUCCUGCCCAGGUAUGGAACUAGUGUAGAGAUGUCCUGCCCAGGUAUGGAACUAGUGUAGAGCUGUCCUGCCCAGGUAUGGAACUAGUGUAGAGCUGUCCUGCCCAGGUAUGAAACUAGUGUAGAG